rnacentral:lncRNA from 1 species
UACGACUUGGAAUCAAGGUUCCCUUGCUUGGAGGAUCUGAGCCUUGUUGGCUGCCACUACUACACCUUGCGAGAAUUACAAGUCAAGAGCUCUUCACUCCAACGCAUAAGCAUUGUGGGCGCUGCAUCGGAACUCAAGUUUGAAGUUCCAAAUCUUGCUGUAUUUAGCUAUUCAGGAAGUGACAUACGUACAACAUACAGUCCAUUUCUAUCAAAGCAAGGGAUGAAUGGGAGUCUCAUAUAUCGAUUGAGCGCCAUCACAAUGAGACCUCCUCAUGGUACCGAGAUUUGCACAAGCUGUUGACUCAGCUGAGUCUAUCAAGAAUCAAUCUCACUAUAAAAAUAGUGGGGUCACGGCCUUGUACAAAUAGAGGCCUGAAUGAUAUUCGUGCGGUAGCCAAUCCAGUAGCAGUGGAGAAUAUGAGGGUUGAGACAGAAUACGAUGUAGGUCGUAUUAUGCGUUGUCUAUUUCGUAUGUGUCGCCCAAAGUUGGUAACUCUUUGCUGGCUUGAUUGUGAAUGUAGGAUGUCAAACAAUCACUCCCUUAGAACUCUCUGUGAGAAACUGAUGGGUCCAACAAAGCGUCGGAAACUGUUUGAGCUCAAGGAAGGGAAAAUGGAAGUAUACGAGGAGGAUGUAGCAAAAUGGCGGCCUCUUCUACUGCAAGAUGCAUUAACAACUCCUCCAAUGGGACGUAAAGUUCGUUUCCACUUGAAGUGGUGAUCACUGAUCGUAAAUGAGUUCCUCUGUGCUUUGAACUAUUUUGGUAUGUAUAUGUAUUCCUGAAUCUACAGACUUGUAGUGUGGUUUCAAGUAUUUUGUUAUCCUAUAUAUAUAUUUGAAGUAUUUUGUUAUAUGUAGCUGAAUCUACAGACUUGUACGUACUAUUUUGUUAUCCUAUAUGUAUAUAUUCAUAUUCAUGUUUGUUGUUUCAAUUAUGUCUUUACUGAGUGCGCAACGAGAAAUUUUUUUAAAAAAUUGUUGUUUUUGGUUUAUGCUUUGAAUUUUGUGGGUGAAAUUGUGUGAAAACGAUAAAAUAUCGAGGAAUUUGUUUUCGGAUAAAUGCCGCAAGAGGGGAUGCAACUGUGAAUAAUUGUAUACUUUUAUACUCCGUGUAAGAGCAUUUUAUUGUGAAGAUAAAAAAUCUUUAUUUAUAAAGGUACAAAUUAUGGUUCAGAGUUUGCAUGGUCCUUAGACUCAUAACUCUAUAGUACUCCCUCCCUCCCAAUAAAUAUGGCCACUUUGUUUUCGGCACGGAAAUUAAGAAACUCAUUGUUAUGUUUUAAUUGAGUGUGUUAAGGAGUUAAUUAAGAGAUUAGGGGAUGACUGUUGGCUGCCAAUCACCUUCUUCUCCGGCGACUUCCUUCUCCGGCGACCUCCUUCUCCGGCAAAGGCGUAAUCUCCGGCGACCUCCUUCCCUCUGUCCCCCGACGACCGCAGCCGCUACCUCGCCGCCCUCUAUCCUCGCCAGAACCCUAGAUCCCCAAAUCGCGACCUCCGUCGACCCGCCUCUUUCUCCCUCCGAAUCUCUCCCCCGACUAGACAGCUAACAUCGGCAGUGAAGGAGCCGCCGCCUGAACCCGAACGGCGACAACAACGACCUCCCAAAAUCAGACACCCAAAUCAAAAUCAGACACCCAAAAUCAUACACCCAAAUCGAAAAUAAAAAUCAGACACCCAAAAUCGCAAACAAAAAUCUUGAAAAUCAGACACCCAAAAUCGUUCUCCGGUCGCCCCUCUAGGCGAGGGAGCCGCCACCGGAGCCCUAGGCGAGGGAGGGAGGAGCCGUCGUCGUCGAUGGGGGGAGAGAGAGGGUGGAGUUUUGGAAGGUCUGGGGGUUGCGGGGUCGGCUUCGGGAGCUCAGGUAUAGGCGUUGCAGUUUUCCAUGGCGGAGAAGGGUGUGGGGGUGGAGGCGCCGCCGUCAGCGGUGGUGGGAGGUGGUGGACGAGGAGGAACAGAGUAUGGUGAAAGAAGAGAGAGAGAGAGAGAGAGAGACGGAGACAGAGAGAAAGCGAUGGGGGUGGCGAGAGGGAGAGACCAGAGGCCGGCGGGAGGGGGGGUGGUCAGGUGGCGGGGUGGGGGGGGCUGAAUGUGAAAUGUGUGGUGGGGUGAAUUUAUUUAAUUAGGGUUUAAGUUUAGUUAGCAUUUUAAUUGAAUUAAUUAAGUAGAUUUAAUUAAAGUAAAUAUUUCCAUUUUAAGGAAGUGGCCACUUUUAGUGGGACAAACCAAAGUGGAAAGGUGGCCACAUUUAUUGGGACGGAGGGAGUAUUUCUAUUGACUACUUUUGGGUGGAAUAAUUGCAUAUAUACUCUCUCGUUCAUGAAAGAAAUUCUUAGAGAGUGAUGAAAAAGUGUUAUAAUUAAUAUUGAAAGUUGUGAAAAAGUGAAAAGUAAGUAAAUAAAAUUUGAUUUUUUUUAAAUCGUAAUGUAUAGCGUGUAAAACACGCGCCUAACAUUAGCGCCUAUCGGGGAACACCCGAUCUAUCGGGACCCCAUCGAGUCAAGCUUCGUUGCAGUGGGCGACCCGAUAGGCGGGUGACUCAAGUCCCCCUAUCGGAUCACUACUGCGGAUGCUCUUAUACUACUAUCUGUGGAGUGUUGUAUCUUUGCAACUUCUUCAUGGUACCGAUGUUUGCAGAGGUUGUUGACUCAGCUGAGUCCCUCAAGAAUCAAUCUCACUAUCAAUAUGGUUGAGUACUUAGGGCCUCGUACAGAGAGGAAUGGCGUGUAUAAUGUUCAUGUAAGAGGCGAACCUAUAGCAGUGGAGAAUAUGAGGCUUGAGGCAGAAUAUGUUGCAGGUUGUCUAUGUUGUAUAUGUCUCCCCAAGUUGUUAAGUCAUUACUGGCUUGAUUGCGAAUGGUGGAGGUCAGACGGUCACUCCCUUAAAAUUCUCUGUGAGAAACUGACAGGUUCGAAGAUGGAUCAGAAUAUGUUUGGGAAAAUGGAAGUAUACGAGGAGGAUGUAGCAGAAUGGCGGCCUCUUCUACUGCAAGAUGCACUAACAACUCCUCCAACGGGAUGUAAAGUUCAUUUCCACUUGAAGUGGUGUUGACUGAUCAUACAGACCUAUAGUCUGUUUUUUGUUUGAAGAAAAAAGAAAAAAAUUGUAGGAGUAAAAAAAAAAAUUAAAAAUGGAAGUAGCCGUUGAGUAGAAGAAAAAAAAAUUAUACUAAUAAAAAGGCUAAAAUAGGAGUUGAGCUCCGAAGCUUUCAAAUUUAAAAAAUUAUUUUUUAAUAGAUGCGUGUAAUACAAGCGUCAUACGUAAUGAUCAUUGAGCUUGACUCGUUCGAACGAGUCAUAGCUCGAGUCGGGGAGGCAGCAUUGAGCGACUUAUCACAUUGGUUGACUCGAGCAAUCACAUCGAGUUAGCCGUUGUGUGUGCUCUUACUAGUUAUUAAUGUUUUUCAGCUCUUGCUUUUCUUUUUGUAACUUUUUAGUCUUAUAGUUAUGAACUUUGAUGCUCGGUAGGGGUGAGCAGAAACCGAACCGACACUGAAAACCGAAUCGAACCGGAUUGAUGCGGUUCGGUUCCAAUUCUAUUGGUUCUAUUUUCGGUUCGGUUUUGAAAACUAAAAACCGAAAAUUUUCGAUUUGGUGUCGGUUUCGAUUUUUUGGUUCGGUUUUAAACCGAACCGAACCGAUACAUAUAAUAUUUAAAUAUAUAUAUAUAUAUAUAUUUAUUUAUUUUGUAAGUAAAACCCUAAUUUACACUUCACAAUUUCAAUUUCUCCUCCCAACAGCUGAACUUGCCGCUCUGCCUCUCUCUUCUGCAGUUCUGCUCUUCACGCCAUCUCUGCGACUCUGCCCUCCGACUCCGGCAGUCCGGCGGUCGUCGGCGCCCGCAGCCGUCCGCAUCAGUCGUCCCCCGCCCAGGCGCGCUCACUCGUCCCCUGCCCAGGCGAGUCCGACAGCCCCUGCCCAGGCGCGACUACCCGGCGCCCGCUGCCGUCCUCGUCUGCUGCAGCCUGCAGCCUGCCGUCCGCCACUCCACGACGUCGCCAACAGCCCAGACUCCCCUUUCGGCGCGGUCGCGCGGCCUACCCUCACCGAAAUUUGUGUAUUUUACAAUUUUUAAAUGAUAUUUUCGAAAAAAAAAAUUGCAUUGUUCGAUUCGGUGCACCGAACCGAAACCGAUGGUUUUAUUGGUUCGGUUUUGGUUCGGUUCCGGACCCCCAAUUGGUGCGGUUCGGUUUCAAUUUUAAUCAUCGGUUCGGUUUUCGAUUUUAGAUUUUUGGUUCGGUUUUGAACCGAACCGAACCGGUGCUCACCCCUAAUGCUCGGUUGUUCAUAAACGAAUAGUUUGAUGGUAAUUUUUUGUGCACGGGACUACGGAAGUAAGGACUUCAAUUUAUUUAUUUAUUUUUGAGACCAUAAGGAUUUCAAUUUUCUUUACUGUAUUGUUUAAUUGUUUUCCUUUUCAAACCAAUCGAACACACAUAGCUAGGGGUGAGCAGUGGGUCGGAUCCGGACUGAUCUGUUGGGUUUGAUAGAUUGAAAUUUUUAAAAUUUUAGACCAAUAUAUUCAGAUCAAAUUCUGAGAGUGAACCGACCCAAGACCAAACUAAACCCGAGCAACGAGUUCGAUUCGGUUCGGCUCCGACUCAUGGCUCAAUGCAUAUACAUGAUUUUGAUCUUAUAGAUUUAUUUCUCACAUGUAUAUUAAGAUAUCAAUCAAUCAAUCAGCGAUAAACAUAUUUAUAUAUAAAAAAAAUUACGCAACAUGAUAGGAAAAAAGAACAAAUAUCACCAAACCAUUUUAUUACAAAAUUUUCCACGUACGUCGUAAUAUCAUUUUCUCUAAUCUUAACAAUGUAUGUAUUCCGGGGGCUGAAGCCCUCCCAUUUUGUAUAUAUAUAUAUUUUAUUUUAUAGGGGUGGACUACCGUGNNNNNNNNNNNNNNNNNNNNNNNNNNNNNNNNNNNNNNNNAACUAUCCAUAUUAAUUAUUUGAAAUUGUACAUUGAUUUGUUAUAUUUAUGCUAUUUUUAUUCUAUUUUUUCUUAUUUAAUUUUUAAUGUUGAAUUUGAGUCCGAGAAUGUUAAAAGUAAAAAUACUAAUUAUUAACAAUGAAAGUUAGUUUAUUUGUUUAAAAAAUGAAUUAUAUAUAUUUUUAAAAUAAUGCAUAAAAGUAUGUUUAUGUAUACUUUCAAUCUACUUAAUGUUGAAUUAAUUGAAUUGUAAACAAUCAUCUAUUAUAUUAAGUGAUUGUUAAAAAAGGCAUGAAAAUUAAGUGUACGAAAUGCUUAAAAAUUUUUGCUUCGCGGGCUCCCGCACCCAAACCCUCAUGUAAAUGUCUUCAUACGUCAUAGAUCAAUAAAUUCAUCCCCCUAACCUCAAUUCCUAGAUCCGCCUCUAUGUACAAUAUCCGACUCAAAGACAGAUUCAGUUCAAAAAUUUUAAAAUUUUUAAAAUAUUGAGCUUAGGAGUACCAAUUUUCGGAUUACAAUGUAGACAUUUGAAUUUAGAUUUUAUUAAUAUUAUUACAAUUUACAAAUAUUAAAUAUAUAUAUCAAAUAAUUAGUAAUUUAUAAAUAUAUGGGUCGAUCCGCGUUCGAUGGAUUCGAUCAGAUUCAAACCCAGAUCGACCCGAAAAAAUUUAGUCCUAUAAAAUUAACCCGGAUCGAACAGUAUAUAUAUACUGAGUCGGUCCGGUUCGGAUCGAAUCCAUCCGUCCGGGUGGAUUCGGGCGGUUCAAUUUGGGUUUGCUCACCCCUACACACAGCGCGACACACACAUUUCGCUUCAGACGGCAGAAACCAAUUGAACACACAGCCCGUCUGGCCGUCCCCGCGGUCCGUACCCUCUGCCGGCGGCCUCCUCAUUGGCGACUCGGCGCCUCCCUCCGCCCUUAAGAAGUAGCAGCCUAGCAGGCCCAGUUGCGGCCCGCCGCCAUCCCCCUUUUCCGCCCGCCUCUUCCCGUCGGCCGUCGACCAAGCAGCCUGAAUCCGGCCGGCCACAACAGGUAAAUAAGCAUUAGCCCUAUGUUCCGAAGCUCUAAUUUCUAACACUUGACUUGAUUUAUUUUGUUAAUCAGCACUUGAUUAGUUAUUUUUGGGAGGAAAUUUUAGAGCUAAUUAAAUUAGUUGAUUAAUAUUGGAUUACAAAAGAAAUUGUGAAUGACUUAAUGUUUUGUCGGUUUUGUUGAAAGAAACUGUUGUGAAUCUUUUUACGGUUGAAAUAAAUUGUUUGCCAUUAUUGCUAAUUUUGUGAAUUGUAAUGGUGCGAAAUGUUUCUGUUAACUGUUGUGAAUCUGCUGCUGUUGACAGUUGGCAAAUGUUGUUGUUGUGAGUGAAUCUGUGCAAAUUUUGUGUAGAUGCUGUUGUGAAUCCCUUGAAGGAUUUGCUUCUUAGCACCAUUGACUGAGUGAUUUUCUUCAUAAUUAUUCUCCUAAUUGAAUAGGAUGGUCUUUUUCUGCUCAUACAUGUUUGAAAGAUGCUCUUCAUCUCUGUUUAAUUGAUUCAGAUUUAUCUCUUGAAAAUUAGACUGAUUAUUUUCAUAUCAAAGAAACAAUUGAACCAAUUGGAAUGAAUUCUUACUUUUUGGGACUGUUUGCUCUGUCUUAGUGUUUGACGAUGGUAGAUUUAUUCCUUGUAUUUGUGCUUGAUUUUGGUUAUGUUGCUAUUGCUUUGUAUUACUUAGUUAAGAUCAAUACUUGCAGUUGUCUCUUGAAUUUGAUAUGGAAAAGUGCAAACGAGUCGAAACUCCAUUACCGGAAGCCAUAAUUCACCUAAUACAGUCUUUCUUGAGUGAAGAAGAAGCUGCUCGAACCACUCUUGUCUCCAAAUCAUGGUACAACGCCUGGCUAACUCGUCCUGUGCUCGUGCUCAGAAAUCUCCAUUGGAGAUCAUCGGCGGCCGUGUUCUGGAGAUUUACAGUGAAGACCAUGCGAAGGUAUCAAGACUCCAACUUGAAGAUCGAGAGUUUGAGGUUAAAAAUACAAGGAUGUAGAAGGAGCUUUGAACCUUUGCCCACAAAUUGAUUGUGGAUGCCAUGAAACUUGGAGCUACUGAUCUCAAAAUCGAAUUCUUCACAUUUGUUCUGCCGCCAGAGGUGCUCCGAUCUGAAUCCCUCCUCCGAUUAUCUGUAAGUGGGUGUGAAAUUGAUGGAAACGUCAACUGCUCGAUGCUCAAAUCACUAAGCUUGGACAGUGUGCUUUUGAAAAGUGAUGAUAUGCUUCGAAUCAUAACUUCCUGCUGCAAUUCCAUCGAGGAGCUGUCACUUUCAAAUUUUUAUAUUUCUAAUAAGAGAAUACUAUUGAGUGGGACGAAUCUGCACGAGCUUCAUAAGCUUAAGCGUUUGUAUCUUGAGAUGGUGGAUGUUGAUAAGUCCUUCUUCGACAACUUGGAAUCUCGGUUCCCUUGCUUGGAGGAUAUGAGCCUUGUUAGCUGCCAUGGCUACAGAGAAAUAUGGGUUGCGAGCUCUUCACUCCAACGCAUAAACAUUGAGCAGCCGGUCAAUGUAUUGAUAGGCAAGUUUAAAGUUCCUAUUCUUGCUGUCUUUAGCUAUUCAGGCGUGGGCAUACCGUCCCUUUCUAUCGAUGCAAGGGAUGAAUGGGAGUCUCAUAUAUCUAUUGAGCGCCGUCAGUUUGAGAACUCUUCAUGGUACAGAUAUUUGCUGAAGUUGUUGACUCAGCUGAGUCCAUCAAGAAUCAAUCUCACUAUAAAUAUGGCUGAGUCACGGCCUUGUACAAAGAGGAUUGCUGGCGUGUAUAAUGUUCAUGUAGUAGGCGAACCUGUAGCAGUGGAGAAUAUGAAGCUUGAGGCAAAAUAUGACGCAGGUUGUAUUCUGCGUUGUCUGUUUUGCAUAUGUCGCCCGAAGUUGGUAACUCAUUGCUGGCUUGAUCGCGAAUGUGGGAAGAAGUCAGACGAUCACUCCCUUGAAAGUCUAUGUGAGAAACUGAUGGGUCCGAAGAGGGAUCGGAAUAUGUUUGAGCGGUUUGAUCUCAAGGAAGGACAGAUGGAAGUAUACGAGGAGGAUGAAGCAGAAUGGCGGCCUCUUCUACUGCAAGAUGCAAUAAGAGCUCCACCAAUGGGACGUAAGGUUCGUUUCUACUUGAAAUGGUGAUGAAAUGACUGAUCAUUAAUGAGUUCCUCUGUGCUUUCAACUAUUUUGGUCUAUAUAUGUAUUCUUGAAUCUACAGACUUGUAGUCUGUUCUUUGUUUCAUGUACUCCCUUCGUCCGUGAUAUCGUUUCCACAUUUGCCAUUUUGGUCCGUCCGCGAUAUCGUUUCAACUUCCAUUUAUAGAAGUAGGGUCCACAAACUUCCACUCACAAUAAUAGUGGGACCCAAACUCUACUCACUACAUAUCCACUACUAUCCACCCAUUUUCUUAAAACUCGCGCCUUCCACAAUGUGGAAACGAUAUCGCGGCCGGAGGAAGUAUUUUAUUUCAAGAGGGAACGCAACUGUUAUAAAUUGAAGAGAAGAGGAGAGGAAGAAUGUUAUAAACAUAGAGUGAUUGUAAAAGCAUUUUAUUGUGAAAAUUAAAAGUUUGUAUUUAUAUAGGUAAAAAUUAUGAUUUAGAGUUUAUAUGGUUAUCACUGUAUAAAGAUAUAUGUAGAUAUUUUAUAUGGACUAUUUUUAGGGGGAGCAAUGAUACUUUUUUCUCUACAACGAGGUUUUGUUAAUUCAUUGAAUUUUCCAAGCAAGUUUACACCUACUCAAGUAUUAAAUAAAAAAAAUGUUUCUUCCCCUUCCACAAUCUAUUAUCAAAUUCAAAUGUUUUAUGAGAUUUGUGAUUGAAAUUGAAUUUUAAGUAGUUUUUUGUAAAUAAGAAGUAUUUAUAAGAUAAAGAAAAAAUAAUGUUUUCUAUGUUUCACGAAUUUUGAUGCAAUUUCCUUUUUCGAUCGUCCCACGAAUCUUGAAGCAUUUUUAAAUAUGGUAAGAAUUAGCCAAAAAAUAAGGGUUAUUAAUUACACUUUUAUACUUUACCAUUUUUCUACUUUAUUACCUGCACAGUUAAAACACUAAUCUUUAACUUCUUAAUUCUUGUGCCCAAACCUAAUGAUAUGUUAAAUAAAAUGAAGAAAAAAAAAUAAUACUAAUACAUAUCGUUUGCCAACAAAAGUGGCUAUAUUAAAAAAAAAAGAUAAAGAAAAAAUUAAUUAUUAAAGUCCAAAAUAAAGUGACCAGUUAAAUAAAAUAAAUAAAAAAUACUAACAAUUACUACUACAUAUCAAUUGCUGAAGACGGCACCAACUCAAUUAAUGAUGUAUCGAUAGGGUACCUCUAAAUUAUAUAUAGCUCUAGUUUUCCUAUUUCUCUUGCAACGCCUCUUUCUCUUCUACUAGGGCACUACCCUCUAUUUUCCUCUCUACAAAUAUAGCUGUUGCAACUUUGCAAGGAUGUUAUGAAGAUUCUGAUGCUUGAUUAAUAAGAGGAAAUCUAUAGAUUGAACGCUUGGUUGGAUUCGGAUAAUUAUUCUGUAUUCUCGAAAAGGUCAGUUAUUUGACCCCAAAUAUUUAUUUUGUUUAUUUAUGCAUUCUACUUGGAAGUUGGAAUCACCUUAAAGGAUUUGCUUCUUAGAACCAUUGACUGAUUGAGUUUCUUCACACAUAUAUAUAUAGAUAUAAAUUUUGUAAUUGAAUACCGUGGUUUUUUUCUCCUCGUACAUGUUUGAAAGUUGAUAAAUUUAUUUAUUGAAUUUGUGGUUGAUUUUGGUUAUGUUGCUCCUGCUUUGUAUUUCUUAGUUAAGAUCGACACUUGCAGUAGUUGUGUCUUGAAAUGGAAAAGCACAAACGAAUCGAAACCCAAUUGUGGGAAGCUAUGAUUCAGCUGAUACAGUCUUUCUUGAGUGAAGAAGAAGCUGCUCGAACCUCUCUUAUCUCCAAAUCAUGGUACAACGCUUGGCUAACUCAUCCGGUGCUCGUGCUCAGAAAUCUCGGUCGGAGAUCAUCGGCGACUAUGCGAAG